rnacentral:rRNA from 1 species
UACAGAGGUCUCAAGCGUUGUUCGGAUUCACUGGGCGUAAAGGGUGCGUAGGUGGUGAGGUAAGUCGGAUGUGAAAGCUCGGAGCUCAACUCCGAAAUGGCAUUGGAAACUACCUUGCUCGAGGGUUGGAGGGGGGACUGGAAUACUUGGUGUAGCAGUGAAAUGCGUAGAUAUCAAGUGGAACACCAGUGGCGAAGGCGAGUCUCUGGACAUUUCCUGACGCUGAGGCACGAAAGCCAGGGGAGCAAACGGG